rnacentral:rRNA from 1 species
UACCGGAAUAAUAUUUUACCGAACCGCAUGGUUCGAUAGUAGAAAGAUGGUUUUGCUAUCACUUAUAGAUGGACCCGCGCCGUAUUAGCUAGUUGGUAAGGUAACGGCUUACCAAGGCGACGAUACGUAGCCGACCUGAGAGGGUGAUCGGCCACACUGGAACUGAGACACGGUCCAGACUCCUACGGGAGGCAGCAGAC